UACGGGGGGGGCAAGCGUUGUUCGGAAUUACUGGGCGUAAAGGGCUCGUAGGCGGCCAACUAAGUCGGAUGUGAAAUCCCCAGGCUUAACCUGGGAACUGCAUCCCGAUACUGGAUGGCUUGAAUCCGGGAGAGGGAUGCGGAAUUCCAGGUGUAGCGGUGAAAUGCGUGAUAUCUGGAGGAACACCGGUGCGAAGGCGCAUCCUGGACCGGCAUUGACGCCU
rnacentral:rRNA from 1 species